rnacentral:rRNA from 1 species
CUGGCUCAGGACGAACGCUGGCGGCGUGCCUAACACAUGCAAGUCGAACGGAGUAUUCUAACACAGGGCGGCCUCGGAAAGAGGACGUCGUGUGUUAGAAAUAACUUAGUGGCGGACGGGUGAGUAACGCGUGAGCAAUCUGCCUUACAGAGGGGGAUAACAGCUGGAAACGGCUGCUAAUACCGCAUGAUAUGCACUGGGGACAUCCUCGGAGCAUCAAAGAUUUUAUCGCUGUAAGAUGAGCUCGCGUCCAAUUAGAUAGUUGGCGGGGUAAUGGCCCACCAAGUCGACGAUUGGUAGCCGGACUGAGAGGUUGAACGGCCACAUUGGGACUGAGAUACGGCCCAGACUCCUACGGGAGGCAGCAGUGGGGGAUAUUGCACAAUGGGGGAAACCCUGAUGCAGCAACGCCGCGUGAAGGAAGAAGGUCUUCGGAUUGUAAACUUUUGUCUUGCGGGACGAAUAAUGACGGUACCGCAGGAGGAAGCCACGGCUAACUACGUGCCAGCAGCGGC